UGUUCUAACGUUGGCCCCUAAUCGGGGUUGCGGACAGUGUCUGGUGGGUAGUUUGACUGGGGCGGUCUCCUCCUAAAGAGUAACGGAGGAGCACGAAGGUUGGCUAAUCCUGGUCGGACAUCAGGAGGUUAGUGCAAUGGCAUAAGCCAGCUUGACUGCGAGCGUGACGGCGCGAGCAGGUGCGAAAGCAGGUCAUAGUGAUCCGGUGGUUCUGAAUGGAAGGGCCAUCGCUCAACGGAUAAAAGGUACUCCGGGGAUAACAGGCUGAUACCGCCCAAGAGUUCAUAUCGACGGCGGUGUUUGGCACCUCGAUGUCGGCUCAUCACAUCCUGGGGCUGAAGUAGGUCCCAAGGGUAUGGCUGUUCGCCAUUUAAAGUGGUACGCGAGCUGGGUUUAGAACGUCGUGAGACAGUUCGGUCCCUAUCUGCCGUGGGCGCUGGAGAACUGAGGGGGGCUGCUCCUAGU
rnacentral:rRNA from 1 species